GACUCAGAGAGAGGGGGUGGAAGGAGGAGGAGAAAGAACUCGCGGGGGCUCUGGCGCCUGGGCAGAAGGAGGCAGGAGGAGAGCGGGGAGGCGAGAGCGCACGGCGGUGGAGAGCCCCUCGAUCAAUUUUCAUGCAAGAAUCAUUAUCGGUAAAUUGGAAAGCUGGCUGCCUGACAGCAGAUUUGUCUCCCCUAAUGAAAGCGAAAGGGUAGGGGCGCAGCGGCGGGCGGCUGAA
rnacentral:lncRNA from 1 species